GAGAAAAAAGUAGCUAGUUUUUCGUUCUGUUCAUGCCCAGUCCUCACUUCUGCUGAGGACUAUCUAAUGUUUUUGACAUAUUUCUGACAUGAUAUGAGAUAAAUAAAUCAAUGGCUUCUUCAUUGUAUCUAAAUUCUUUAUCUCUAGUACCUCGCAGAACCAAACCGAACUAUACAUAUUCUUGUUAUUAUGCCUCUGAUCAUCUUGGCUUAAGGAAUGGCAAUGGUAGCAUCAGCAGAGAAGCUUUAAAGCCUAUACUUGUCAGUGGAGACCCUCCUACUUACGUUUCUGCUCCUGGUCGCCGUAUUAUUGCCAUUGGGGACCUGCAUGGAGACCUUGACCAAGCUAGGCGUGCAUUGGACUUGGCUGGUGUAUUGAAUUAUGAUGGAGAUGACUUGUGGAUUGGUGGAGAAACCGUGCUGGUUCAGCUUGGAGAUAUACUUGAUCGAGGCGAAGAUGAGAUAGCAAUAUUAUCUUUGCUGCGUUCUUUAGAUAUUCAGGCCAAAGCUGAAGGUGGAGCAGUUUUUCAGGUCAAUGGGAAUCAUGAAACUAUGAAUGUGGAAGGAGACUUUAGAUACGUUGAUUCCGGGGGAUUUGAUGAAUGUACGGAUUUCCUGGCGUAUUUGGAAGAUUACAAAUAUGAUUGGGAAAAUUCAUUUGUUAGUUGGAUUCAUGCCUCAAAAAGUCGAAAAGAAGACCGAAAAUUGUCCCAAAAUUACUGGGGUCCUUUGAAUUUGGUGAAGAGGCAAAAGGGGAUCAUUGCCAGAUCAGUACUGCUAAGACCGGGCGGUCCAUUGGCAUCUGAACUAGCGCGGCAUUCUGUUAUACUCAGGAUUAAUGAUUGGAUAUUCUGUCAUGGAGGACUUCUGCCUCACCAUGUUUCAUAUGGCAUAGAGAGGAUUAACAGGGAAGUAUCUCAAUGGAUGAAAGGCCUUAGCGGUAGCGAUGAUAGCCCUGACAUUCCUUUCAUAGCAACCAGGGGCUACGACAGCGUUGUUUGGAACCGACUGUAUUCCAGAGAUGAGUCGGAACCAGAAGACUAUCAGACUAUUCAGGCAUUUUCUCUUCUUGAAGAGACAUUGCAAUCAGCAGGAGCUAAAGCAAUGGUGGUAGGGCACACUCCUCAAACUGCAGGGGUCAAUUGUAAGUACAACUGCAGCGUAUGGCGCAUUGAUGUCGGAAUGUCUAGUGGCGUUCUCAAUUCAAGACCAGAGUAUAUAUAUUCAGGUACUAGAAAUAAGAGAUGAUAAAGCAAGAGUAAUAAGAAGCAGAAAAGAUGCAUAUAGAGAAUUGCAGAUUGCUGACUAUACAUAGAGAUUACAAGUAUUGUAACCAGGUAAUUAAAUAAGUGAGAUUCAAAGAUAUUGUCUAUAUAUUGCUGAAACUGAGAGAGGACUUGGUUUCAAGUGAUUUGUAUAGGAGGAGUUGGUGGCAUGUUUCCAUUUUCAAAUACAACACAUUUUAUAAACUGAGACAGAAUAAACUCAAACCACUUGUAAUAAUAUUAUAGCGUUACAUUUGAAUAUAGUUGUAUUUUACUAGUCAAUAACCCACUCAUUAUAGUAUAUAGUAUUUUUUUUAUUUUUUA